rnacentral:rRNA from 1 species
UAGAGUUUGAUCCUGGCUCAGAACGAACGCUGGCGGCAGGCCUAACACAUGCAAGUCGAACGGGCGUAGCAAUACGUCAGUGGCGCACGGGUGAGUAACGCGUGGGCAACCUACCUGGUGGUACGGAAUAACCGCGGGAAACUGCGGCUAAUACCGUAUGUCCCCUUAGGGGGAAAGAUUUAUCGCCAUCAGAUGGGCCCGCGUAGGAUUAGCUAGUUGGUGAGGUAACGGCUCACCAAGGCGACGAUCCUUAGCUGGUCUGAGAGGAUGAUCAGCCACACUGGGACUGAGACACGGCCCAGACUCCUACGGGAGGCAGCAGUGGGGAAUAUUGGACAAUGGGCGCAAGCCUGAUCCAGCCAUGCCGCGUGAGUGAUGAAGGCCUUCGGGUUGUAAAGCUCUUUUGGCGGGGACGAUGAUGACGGUACCCGCAGAAUAAGCCCCGGCUAACUUCGUGCCAGCCGCCGCGGUAAUAC